UGUUACUUUGCGUUUACUCUGCUUAGCA
rnacentral:sRNA from 1 species